GCAUGGGUGGUUCAGUGUGUAGAAACGCUCGACUUGCCAGGCGGCGGCCCAGGUUCGAUUCCGGCCGAUGCA